rnacentral:rRNA from 1 species
GACGAACGCUGGCGGCGUGCUUAACACAUGCAAGUCACGGGGGUCCGCAAGGACAACCGGCGAACGGGUGCGUAACACGUGAGCAACCUGCCUUUGUGUGGGGGAUAGCCGGCCCAACGGCCGGGUAAUACCGCAUACGUUCUUGUGGGGGAGUCCCCAUGAGAGGAAACCUCCGGGGCACAAAGAGGGGCUCGCGGCCUAUCAGCUAGUUGGCGAGGUAACGGCUCACCAAGGCGGCGACGGGUAGCUGGCUGAGAGGAUGGCCAGCCACAUUGGGACUGAGAGACGGCCCAGACUCCUACGGGAGGCAGCAGUGGGGAAUCUUGCGCAAUGGCCGAAAGGCUGACGCAGCGACGCCGCGUGUGGGAUGAAGCAUUUCGGUGUGUAAACCACUGUUGCCCGGGACGAAACCGCCUUUCGAGGGCGUUGACGGUACCGGGUGAGGAAGCACCGGCUAACUCCGUGCCAGCCGCCGCGGUAAU